rnacentral:rRNA from 1 species
UGACCUCGGAUCAGGUAGGAAUACGCGCUGAACUUAAGCAUAUCAAUAAGCGGAGG